GAUGAAGAACGUAGCGAAAUGCGAUAAGUAAUGUGAAUUGCAGAAUUCAGUGAAUCAUCGAAUCUUUGAACGCACAUUGCGCCCCUUGGUAUUCUGGCGGGCAUGCCUGUUCGAGCGUCAUUUCAACCCUCAAGACCCCUUCGGGGGACUUGGUGUUGGGGACCGGCACAGGGGCCUGCCUGCUUGUCUUGCAGCGCCCUCGCCGCCCCCGAAAUGAAUUGGCGGCCUCGUCGCGGCCUCCCCUGCGUAGUAGCACAAACCUCGCAACGGGAACGUGACGGCGGCCACUGCCGUAAAACAACCCAAUUUUAUUAGAGUUGACCUCGAAUCAGGUAGGAAUACCCGCUGAACUUAAGCAUAUCAAUAAGCGGAGGA
rnacentral:misc_RNA from 1 species